rnacentral:rRNA from 1 species
GAUCAUGGCUCAGAACGAACGCUGGCGGCAGGCUUAACACAUGCAAGUUGAACGUGAUUUGCUGGGUGCUUGCACCGAGCAAUGAAAGUAGCGCACUGGUGAGUAACACGUGGGAACGUACCUUUUGGUGGGGAACAACAGUUGGAAACGACUGCUAAUACCGCAUAAGCCCUGAGGGGGAAAGAUUUAUCGCCGAAAGAACGGCCCGCGGAAGAUUAGGUAGUUGGUGGGGUAACGGCCUACCAAGCCGACGAUCUA